GCGACAUUGUUGACGAGAGUCGAAGCGCCAAACGGUCGAAAGUUUUCCGUUGCCGUCGUAACCAGGGAGCCGCAAGUAAUGAACGGUAAUGUUCAAAAUAUUACAUUUUACCGUCAACAAUGGACCUGCAUCAUUCGUCGUGUUGGGAGGCCAUUCUGGAGAAAGUGAAACCGCAUAUACCGACUAUGGACUUUGAUUCGUCAUCACAGUCUGAGAAUGAAGAGAUUGCCACAAUAUAUCAAAGGCCCGCUGGUCUUUCCUUGACUGUCUCUGAGGACUUUGACCUACUCUCAAUGGAUGACGAUCAUCUAGAGCGGCUGUGGAAACCUGUAGCUCUGACCCGCAGGACAGAAGAGAGUGAGCAAUUGGAUGGCGAUGAAAAUGUGGAAGGCUCUACUGUCACGCAACGACAACUCGCUGAUGUCCAGGGAGACGCUCCUCAGACGGGCCUCGUGGAGUCAGAUGCCUCCGUGAGACCAAACAACACACAAACAACAACAACAACAGCUGAUCAGCAAUUGACCGUUCUGUCAUUGGCAAGGUUUGACCAGUGGGACUUGGACGAUGUUCUCAAAAAUCUGGACCGGCUACCUCUGCAACAACAUGUGUCAGUUGAACCGCUGGAAACACAUGCAGAUGGCGACAAGGAGAAAUCCGAAGCAAUCAUAAUGGAGAGACUAGUUGCUUUUUGUGACAUCCAGUCAUCAAAGAAUGAGUCAGAGCUGAUGGAAAGUCCAAACCACAUCAAGCAUACCAAUGUGGGGGAAAAGUCAUCGGGGAGUUUGGAAGACGAGCUGCGGCCGAGGCAGAAGGAAUGUCCCACUGUUUACAUUGACCUGCGUUGCUCUGAUUCUUCAAUAAAAACACCAAGAACAUCCCCAAAUCCUCCAUCAGAGUCCAAGUCACCAGCCAAACGCAGCAAGCACCACGAAACACCAAAGAAAGUCAAUCUUAAAGUGCAUCAUGCAUCAUGCACGGAUGACAGAGAAGUGACUGGAAAGAAUAAGCUGCUUCAGAAGAUCAGGGAGAUGAAGGGAAAUGGAGAUAGAUAUCCCAACGAAUGUAUGGACCCAUCUCAUUCAGUGCCAGAGAAUGUACUGGAAAAACUGAACGCGGCGCAACCGCAGGCUGCAGAGUCUGCGUGUGGACAGGAGACACACAAACAGGGGGGAGACAAUCAAUCUUCUUAUGUGCAGUUUGAAUACAGAACGACUGAAAUGGAAACCCCACCUACAUCUCAGCAAGGACCAAUCAAAAAACCGGAGCAGCAGAGUGACCAACAGAGACCAGAAGUUAAGCAGAAAAAUGCACGUGAGCAACACCAACAGAUUCCUGAGCAACUGGAAAGACAUCGUCCACUCAAAUCAGUCAAUCAGAAGCGGCCAGCCGCCGAAAAGACCGACGUUCUCUACGACUCCGAAGCGUCUCAUUUACAGUCCAUCAGUACUCUACCAACGGGGCUAAAGAGUAAGGGACGCAUGCUACUGAUCGUUGACCUCUCAAGUCCUGGCGCGGUCGGAUCCAGAGCUCACGGGAAGAGAAAACAUCAGAUUUCAGCGGCAACCAAAUCGCACACCUACAACACUUUGGUGGCUUGGUUUCUGUCUUUGGUUGGCCGCCCACUCCACGAUGAAGACGAGGCUGCUGCCAAGGUCCCUUUCUGGGUUGCAGGACUCCAGCAGCAGUGGACAGACGAUGGACAUGCUCUGUUUGUCGUGGUUGUGGCUCGUCACUCUUACGCACCAAAGAAAAGGAACAAAGACAUCCAUACACCUUUCUACAACCACGUCUGCAGCUUCCUCACUGAGACCUCGCUCCCUCUGAUCGCCAGCUGGGUACCGGCGGUCAGAAACCUGCUGGACCAACAAGCCUUCGCCUCCCCCAUCCAUCUGCCGUCAUGCAGUCUAAACGGUUUCAUCUCCACCACCUCCAACCAAAAGGUUAUUGACAGGACAUUUGGUCUCGACCCCGGCUUUUACUGGCAGACUCUGGAAACUCCGGAGCAUGUUUGCAGGGGGAGAGAGACCACACAAGCGCUGCACACAGAAGUAUCUGUCGCUGUGGGGUGCGAAGCAUUCAUCCUCCAUCCUGUCAUAACACACUACACCCUCCAACUGGUUCUUGAUUCGGGACUCGAUGUGUGUGGUCUGCGGCUCCUUUAUCCAACACGGGAGUUCCUGAGUGAUAGGGCUGGUGCUGGACCAGUUCUUCAGAGAGCCGGUGCGACCUGCCAGCCUGUCCUGGCCCUUGCUGUGCGGGGCCUUCGUGCCCACUCCGUGUUGAGCAAUCUGACUAGUUCCUCGGACCCUCUGGUGCCCGGAGGGACCGACCCUCUGGAGCCUCCUCUCUUCUUCUCCUCUCGACCGGCCAGCCAGGUGCACAGGGAGCUGUGCUUGUGGUUUUCAGGAAGAGUUAGCCCUUACAACCGGCUCCCGAGCAGGGUUGUUCCCUCGAAUGAGCGAAGAGGAGUCUUUCUGUGCGCCACAACGAAAAUGCUGGCAGUGUGUGAACGCAGAGGCUUCGGUCUGGGGGGGCUGCAGAGGCUGCGGCUUCAGAGCAACGGCGCUGCAGACCUGGGACUCUCCGAGCAGCAGGCUCGAGUGUUCUGCAUUCCACGCCGGGGUCAGCUGGAGCUGCUCUCUCCCUGUCUGGUGUUGUUACUGAGGAAAGAAAAUGCUGUGCACCACACUGUUUGUCUGCCAGCAGCCCUGAUGAGAGAAUUUAAGACACCAAAGCUUCUGGGUCGCAUCCGGUCCAGAGUCGAUGGGGUUCGGGCAGCGGAGCCCAGCUUGUGUUUCCACACUGCGCCUUACAGCAGCAACCUGUACCACGUCUUUGGACACGAGACGCGGCCUGAGCCUCUUGCACAGAGUGCUGACAGAGGAGCCAGAAGGAUUCCAGCUGCUCGGCCUGAAGUGGCUGCCUGCGUUGACUCUGCUUCAGGCUCGGGAGCUGAAUCCAUACGAAGUGGGGCAGCAGCUCUUUCAAGACAGCGUGGGCCAUCUGAUGCCCCGUCCUGCCCUAGUGUGUGCUCUUAAACGCGCGGAUGCUCUGGCUUCACUGAGGAAACUCUUACCACAAGAUUACCCCGGGGACCUCAGUGUCCUGAUGUCCCCCACGCUUUCAGACAAGCCCCCCUGUUCUUCUUUGAGCACGAGAUGAUUGCUGGUAGGUUUGAGGGCUGCAUACAACAUGCGAUCAGAUACUGAGUCUAAAACCAUUCGAGUCUUUUGAGUCAAGCGCCAGAUUGAAGAAUUAUUUAAGAAGAAAAGUCUUGUGUGUGUCCGACGAGAUAUAGUUUGUGCAGCACAGGGCAUUGUGCCAAAUGAUAUUAUCAUAUUAAUAGCUUACUAAGUUACAGUGAAUUCUGUUCCAAGUUGAUGCGAUAAUAAAGAGGAUUCUGUUCAGACCUUCAGAUGCUGGUCACUUUGUGCCUGUUCAAGCCAACAAUCUGGAAUCACUCGCUGGCUAAAAUAGCCCACAAACUGCAGCUGUGUGGCCUCACAAUGGUGGGCCUGCGUGUGUUGACCCUGGAUAAACGCACUGCCACCUCACUACUGCCUGCACAGAGUGUAACUGAUCAUCAUUAUCCCUCUCAAGCUUUCCAUUGAUACAAAAAUGUAAGGCCUCGAUGGUCCAACACGCGUUCACUGCUGCGUGCAGGACCCCUCGGACUUGGAGGCCCACGUGGGGUACCUGUGCUCCGGCUCCUCAUUGGCUCUCUGCCUCCGGGGGGAAAAUGCUGUAAGCAGGCUGCUGGAUGCGCUGGACCAAGAUGUCUCGUCACAGUGGACCCAUCGUGGCGUGGCUCAUUCAUACAAUGGCAUUUAUGGUCAGUGCGCGGUUCUACUAGUGCACACUGCUACACGAUUAAGAAGUGCAUUGCUAUGUGUGCAACAGCACCGGUGUAUUAUGCAAAGCCCUUUGAAUUACCUUCAACUUGUCUCACGGCCCUGUAUGAUGAAACAGCCUGUAACCAAUU
ensembl:lncRNA